CCUACGGGUGGCAGCAGUGGGGAAUAUUGGACAAUGGGGGCAACCCUGAUCCAGCCAUGCCGCGUGUGUGAAGAAGGCCCUCGGGUUGUAAAGCACUUUCAGUGAGGAAGAACGCCUGGUGGUUAAUACCCAUCAGGAAAGACAUCACUCACAGAAGAAGCACCGGCUAACUCCGUGCCAGCAGCCGCGGUAAUACGGAGGGUGCGAGCGUUAAUCGGAAUUACUGGGCGUAAAGCGAGCGUAGGUGGCUUGAUAAGCCGGUUGUGAAAGCCCCGGGCUCAACCUGGGAACGGCAUCCGGAACUGUCAAGCUAGAGUGCAGGAGAGGAAGGUAGAAUUCCCGGUGUAGCGGUGAAAUGCGUAGAGAUCGGGAGGAAUACCAGUGGCGAAGGCGGCCUUCUGGACUGACACUGACACUGAGGUGCGAAAGCGUGGGUAGCAAACAGGAUUAGAUAUCCUAGUAGUC
rnacentral:rRNA from 1 species